rnacentral:rRNA from 1 species
UACGUAGGGUGCAAGCGUUGUCCGGAAUUAUUGGGCGUAAAGAGCUCGUAGGCGGUCUGUCGCGUCGGCUGUGAAAACCCGGAGCUCAACUCCGGGCCUGCAGUCGAUACGGGCAAGCUGGAGUACUGCAGGGGAGACUGGAAUUCCUGGUGUAGCGGUGAAAUGCGCAGAUAUCAGGAGGAACACCGGUGGCGAAGGCGGGUCUCUGGGCAGUAACUGACGCUGAUGCACGAAAGCUAGGGGAGCAAACAGG